UCAGGCCUAACACACACAAAAAGAGCGGUUGAGGUAGCUUGCCACCGAAAAAACGGCGGACGGGUGAGUAAUACAUGGGAAUCUGCCUGGUAGUGGGGGACAACGUUUCGAAAGGAACGCUAAUACCGCAUACGCCCUACGGGGGAAAGGGGGGGAUCGUCGGACCUCUCGCUAUCAGAUGAGCCCAUGUCGGAUUAGCUUGUUGGUGAGGGAAAGGCUCACCAAGGCGACGAUCGGUAACUGGUCUGAGAAAAAGAUCAGGCACACUGUUUUGGGGACACGGUCCAGACUCCUGCGGGAGGCAGCAGUGGGGAAUAUUG
rnacentral:rRNA from 1 species